GACGAACGCUGGCGGCGUGCUUAACACAUGCAAGUCGAGCGAUGAACCACCUUCGGGUGCGGAUUAGCGGCGAACGGGUGAGGAACACGUGAGGAACCUGCCCAUCACUCUGGGAUAACUCCGGGAAACCGGGGCUAAUACCGGAUAUUUUCAACUGGCGGCAUCGCUGGUUGAAGAAAGUUUUUCGGUGAUGGAUGGCCUCGCGGCCUAUCAGCUAGUUGGUGAGGUAAUGGCUCACCAAGGCAACGAC
rnacentral:rRNA from 1 species